rnacentral:rRNA from 1 species
UACGUAGGGUGCAAGCGUUAAUCGGAAUUACUGGGCGUAAAGCGUGCGCAGGCGGUUUUGUAAGUUUGUCGUGAAAGCCCCGGGCUCAACCUGGGAAUUGCGAUGAAGACUGCAAGGCUUGAAUCUGGCAGAGGGGGGUAGAAUUCCACGUGUAGCAGUGAAAUGCGUAGAGAUGUGGAGGAACACCGAUGGCGAAGGCAGCCCCCUGGGCCGACCCUGACGCUGAGGCGCGAAGGCGUGGGGAGCGAACGGG